CAAAAACAUCUCUUUUUGACACAUAAAAAGUACCGUCUGCUCAAUGCAAUUUGUAAAUAGCCGCAGUAUUCUGACUGUGCUAAGGUAGCAUAAUCAUUAGUCUUUUAAUUGAAGGCUGGUAUGAAUGACGAGACGAGAAAAUAGCUGUCUCUAAAAUAAAUCUUGAAUUUUAUUUCUAAGUGAAAAAGCUUAGAUAAUUUUAAAGGACGAUCAGACCCUUUGGAGCUUUAUUUAUUUUAAAUUUUAAUUUAUUUUAGAUUAUUGAAUGAAUAAUAAAUUUUGUUGGGGCGACAGAGAGUAAUAAAUAUCACUCUUUUUUUUAAACAAUUAUAAUUGAAAAAUUGAUCCUUAAAGUAAGAUUAAAAGACUAAGUUACCCUAGGGAUAACAGCGUAAUCUUCUUGGAGAGUUCAAAUCGAUAAGAAGGUUUGCGACCUCGAUGUUGGAUUAAGAGAUUGACAAGGUGCAGAAGUUUUGUUGGAAAGUCUGUUCGACUUUUAAUUUCUUACAUGAUCUGA
rnacentral:rRNA from 1 species